UACGAAGGGGGCUAGCGUUGCUCGGAAUCACUGGGCGUAAAGGGCGCGUAGGCGGGUCUUUUAAGUCAGGGGUGAAAUCCUGGAGCUCAACUCCAGAACUGCCUUUGAUACUGAGGAUCUUGAGUUCGGGAGAGGUGAGUGGAACUGCGAGUGUAGAGGUGAAAUUCGUAGAUAUUCGCAAGGACACCAGUGGCGAAGGCGGCUCACUGGCCCGAUACUGACGCUGAGGCACGAAAGCGUGGGGAGCAAACAGG
rnacentral:rRNA from 1 species